GCCUGGGUGGCUCAGUUGGUUAAGCAUCUGACUUCAGCUCAGGUCAUGAUCUCACAGUUCAUGGGUUCAAGCCCCGCACCAGGCU
rnacentral:tRNA from 1 species